rnacentral:lncRNA from 1 species
AUUUCCCAUAAGCCAGGAACAUUCCCAUCUUAGGCCUUUGCGCUGGCUGCUGUCUCUGCACUUUUCCUAACUUCCUUCAAAUCUUUGCCUAAAUAUCAUUUCCUGAUGGCACUUUACUCCAGUCACCCUAUUUAACGUUGCAACCAGUCUCCCCAUUCUUUCAGAACUCCCAAUUCUCUCUUCUUACAUAGUCUCAUGGGAUUUUUCUCGAUUGCUCCCAUCAAAAUUACAAUUAAACAAUUAUUUGUGUAAUUGUUAAAUUCUUGACUCUGCCAUUUACACUCCAUGAGGGCAGGGACUUUGUGCCUUGUGCAUUGCAGUAUCUUCUGCAUUUUGUCAGAGCCU